rnacentral:rRNA from 1 species
AGCGAACAUUGGCGGUAGGCUUAACACAUGCAAGUCGAGCGAGGCGUAAUAGUCGAGCGGCGAACGGGUGAGUAAUACAUGGAAAUCUACCCUGAAGUGGGGGAUAACGUCCAGAAAUGGACGCUAAUACCGCAUAAUCCAUAUUGGGAAAGCGUUGCAGCGCUUUAGGAUGAGUCCAUGGCUGAUUAGCUUGUUGGUGAGGUAACGGCUCACCAAGGCGACGAUCAGUAGCUGGUCUGAGAGGAUGACCAGCCAAACUGGAACUGAGACACGGUCCAGACUCCUACGGGAGGCAGCAGUGGGGAAUCUUGCGCAAUGGGGGCAACCCUGACGCAGCCAUACCGCGUGAGUGAUGAAGGUCUUCGGAUUGUAAAGCACUUUCAGCAGGGACGACGAUGACGGUACCUGCAGAAGAAGUCACGGCUAACUUCGUGCCAGCAGCCGCCGUAA